GACAAUAUCAUGUUGAAACACCAGUUUUCAUCUGAUCACUGAAGUUAAACAACAUUGAGCUUGAUCAGUACCUAUGUGGGUGACCACUCGGGAUUACUGAGUGCUGUAA